rnacentral:rRNA from 1 species
UACGAAGGGGGCCAGCGUUGCUCGGAAUUACUGGGCGUAAAGGGUGCGUAGGCGGGUCUUUAAGUCAGGGGUGAAAUCCUGGAGCUCAACUCCAGAACUGCCUUUGAUACUGAAGAUCUUGAGUUCGGGAGAGGUGAGUGGAACUGCGAGUGUAGAGGUGAAAUUCGUAGAUAUUCGCAAGAACACCAGUGGCGAAGGCGGCUCACUGGACUGGUAUUGACGCUGAGGUGCGAAAGCGUGGGGAGCAAACAGG